rnacentral:rRNA from 1 species
UGGGGAAUAUUGCACAAUGGGCGCAAGCCUGAUGCAGCCAUGCCGCGUGUGUGAAGAAGGCCUUCGGGUUGUAAAGCACUUUCAGUAGGGAGGAAGGUUCAUGCGUUAAUAGCGUAUGGAUUUGACGUUACCUACAGAAGAAGCACCGGCUAACUCCGUGCCAGCAGCCGCGGUAAUACGGAGGGUGCGAGCGUUAAUCGGAAUUACUGGGCGUAAAGCGCAUGCAGGUGGUUUGUUAAGUCAGAUGUGAAAGCCCGGGGCUCAACCUCGGAAUUGCAUUUGAAACUGGCAGACUAGAGUACUGUAGAGGGGGGUAGAAUUUCAGGUGUAGCGGUGAAAUGCGUAGAGAU